AUAGUACGUUGAAUGUACCAAUUCCCCCCACGGAUCACUGAUGUUAAGCAACGUUGCGCGUGGUAAGUACCUGGAUGGGUGACCAUCUGGAGUUGCUUAU
rnacentral:rRNA from 1 species